CAUAAGGUUUUUCCUAUUUUCUUCCAUUAUUGAAUAUUGAUGACAUGGGUGAAACUAUUAUGAUUAGAUGGUGAUAAUUAUAUAUUUCUAUAAUUAUAAUAUUUUUUCUUGAGUAAAUGCGUUAAGGAUUGAAUUUGUUUUAGAAUGUUUUAUUUUUAAAUUGUGAUAUCAGUUGAUAUUGUUUAUGUAUCCAUUUUUGUAAUGAUGUUGUAGUAUUGUUUUUUU
rnacentral:lncRNA from 1 species